GCAUAGAAUGUAAAGCUCCUUCCACCGAGCCACGCCUGGGAAAUUAGCCGCGCUAGGUCAUACAAGAUGGCGAUUUGCGGAAGAAGCUUUCCUUUAGAAGUCAUCUUCUCAAUAAUUUUUGAAGGAGUAAUACGCAAAUAUACAAGAAGGCAAAAGCAAUUCCAAUUGCUAGGAAGUAUUGCAGAGGAUCAGAAUUGAACGAUAUCUGCAUUCUUAUUACGUCCAAAGAAGAUAUAUGGAUUUGAACUAAGCUCAAUGUGAUCAUUAAACAUUUGACAUCCGAAAUGAAACGCUUUUCCAUUGGUACUUCCUGUUUUUCCUCAAAUCCGACGAUUCGUUCUACUUGGAUAGUAGAAAUGUCCGAAAGUCAACGAACUUACGAAAUGGAAACGUUUACCUCCUCACUCUUAUAUUUGAAUGAGAUUUUAUCAUGGUGACUAGAAUAUUUCUGUUGAUGAGCAUUAUUGAAGCAUAUUGAAGCAGAAGCGUGUUUCAAGAGGCAGUUGAAAAUUCUAACAAAGGAAGGAACAUCGUUAGCUAUUGUCCAUGUAUGCAUUAUGUGAUUGUGAAUACCUAGGAAGAGGAAGAAGAAGAAAGGACAUACGUGCUUGACGACGAAGUUCCGAAAGAUCAAUAUGGCAAUGUUUUAUAAAGCUUGGAACAAGAGUACGAGGAAAUGGGAGGGAUUUAUCUUUUUCAAAGCAUCUAACUGUGAGCGGCUUUAGCUGGAGGGUAUAAGCGAUUGUGUUCAACAAGCUUUGUCGAAGAGCCGUCCGACGUUCCAUGCGAGGUAAGGGUCAAAGGGGAAUUAAAAUUAAACUGAGGGAGGUUUAUAAUACAAAAUAAUUGAACAGACAGGGACGAUCAAAAGAUUCAUCUUUUUUCAAAGUAAUCCCAUUAGCAGGGGAAUACUUUUAAAUUAAACGUGAAAUAGAAAGUCCACGUCACGUCAUUGUUAUUCCAUCGAUUUAAAUUAAGUAACCAUUCGAAAUAAUUAAAUGGGAGAAGUAUUGAAUUCUAUAUUUCAAACUGUUUGCCGUAACAUUCGCAACAUAUACAUAAAAAAUAUUCGUAAUAUUUAAUUAGCGUUUUUCUUAAAUAUUCAAAUUUGGACGAAAUAAUUUGGUUCGUAGCGCUAAUUAUCCAUUUAGUAUGUUAUGAAAGGAAUUUCGUUAUAGUGGAUGUCCGUAAUACGUUCUCCCAUAUUUAUCGUCAAGUACCUUCGUUUAAACCUUUUUCCAUUAUCUCUCUCCAUGUACGUGUGCUCUGGUGCACGUCUAUCCGCGUAAGGUCGAGUGGCUGUCAUUGAGUGUGCGUGUGUACGUAAAACUCCUGGCUUAUUUUGACAAUAAGGAAAGUAUUUUUUCAUUUAUUUUCCUGUCCUCAGACCAAGCGAACAAUAGGAGACUGGCUGUAUUAUUCAGUUGCCUAUUUAGCUUCAUUGUUUGAUAGCACGCUUGUUUGAAUAUGGGAAUAGCCUAUAUUCUUAGGAACCAAUUGAUUUGGUACAUGAUAUACGAAAUAUUAGAUAAUUAGAAGUAUAAUGGGAUUAUUGUUUUGCAUUCUCCAAUAGGGAGUAACUUUCUAGAACAAUUUACCCGUUCAUAUGGAAGAAUCAUACCAGCCGUGGUAUAUCGAUCCGCAAAAGACAAAUGAAAUCAUACAGCUAAAUAGAUAAUUGAGUUAUAUCGCUAAUCGUAUUAUCGCAUUGUCUGCUUGGUUUGAUGAGGGGAGAACUAAUGAAAAAAUACUAUCCUUGUUUUCAAAAUAAGAGAGGAGAUGUACGCAAACACGCGCACUCAUUUCCGUCCACUUGACUGGAACACGUAAACGCGCAUGUGCACGGCGAGAGGUAGUAAUAAAUCGUUCAAUAUGAAAGUGCUGAACGAUAGGUAGGAGAGAACGUAUUCCUCAACGAGCAAAUCGUUAAAUGCCGAUCAAUACCCCUUAACAAGGGAAUUUGUAGGCAUGCAGAAUCAUAUAUUUUUGAGAAAAAUCACAAUUUUGUCCAUUAUAAUUUUCUAUGAUGUCUCUGAUAAAUGUUGAAUCAAUUCUUUUCCAACAUUAUCAUCCCUAGCAUUAGGUGUAAGGUCUUUCCGUUUUAUUAUUACAUGACAUCAGUAUUACUGCUGUCGUUUUAUAUUUUUUAUAUUUUUUUCCCGAUUAAUAUUUUUUUUUUUUUCUAACAUGUCUGUAUUAAUAUUUGUCUUGAACCCAAAAUUCUCCUGCGAUAUUACUUAUUACACGAAACUAACUCGUGUUUGGAAAUUUUGCCAUUCUCUUAAUGAAAAAGAAAUGAGUAAUUAAAAGCGUUGGUAGUCUCAAAUUGUAUAUUACGAUAUCACGAAACGAUACGUACCAAAAGAGUAUUACGUCUCUGAUUUUCUGGCUUAUUUGUCUAGGGAGCAAUCUGUUUCACUAGAAGUUUCCAUACGAAACGAGUACAGCUUCGCAAAUCUCUCCUGUGUUUCAUGAUUGCUUGUUCACUCCAUCAAAUAUCACUGCAUCGUACGAGGCGUACUCGCGUACCAUUGCAGACAAGUCCUUGUCACUCUCUUUAAGUGGUUUAGAAAAGCUCUCAGACCGUUGUGAACGAAGUUCUUCUUCGUAAAAUCGACUGAUAUACUUUUUAUAUAACUUGUUUAUUUGACCAUUUCUUUAUUAACUAACUCAGUGGUUCUCUCGGUGGGGAAACACGGGAAAGAGGGGAAGGUAAUAUUAGGAAACCAUAAAUGUAACGAGACAUAGAGUAGAAUAUUUACAUAAAGAUACAAAUAUAAUUACGUAACUAUAGGAGAGGGGAAAUAUUUAUCCCCAUGCGUUCUAGUUAGAGAAUUAGAAUCUAGGAAGCUUGGUCUUCUAUCGUUAUGACGUGACCAAUUUAACUAGGGUAAGUCAUUCCUUUCGUGAUUUUCGACCCAGUAAUACGCAAGUGUGUCUCAUACACGAAAUAAUCCCUAGUUGUCAUACGUACCAAAGAACAGCUUUACAAAUAAUACAAACGGUUUAAACACGAUUAGAUUUAGUAGAAAAUUUCAUUUCUAUAUCAUAGAAAUGAAAUUGAUUCUCUUGAUUCAUAGCAUUUUAAUUAUUAUUUUGUUGGGUUUAGGAAUAGUUGCUGUAGCCAUAUAUUUGUAUUUAUAAGAAAAUGUUCGUUCUUUAUUUCGAUAUAUUAAGAUAAACUUAAAUUCGAAAAAAAUUUACUCCAAUGUACAUUUUCUUCGAAGAAAUUAUUUACGGUAAGAAAAUUAGCUACUUUCAUUUCCGUUUAAAGUUCUUCGACAUGUAUCUACUUAGCGAGAUUGUAAUCCAAUCUCUUUUCCAAUAAAUAAACAUUUAAUCUAUUAAAUAUAACUAGUAAGUAUAAGGUAGACUUACGAAAGAAGUAACAGUGCGAAUUUCCUAUAUGAAUAUCCGAUUAAUUAGUCUUGAUAAUUACAAUAAUUAUUAUUAUAAUAGUUAAUUAUAUCGUAAAUAAUUACAGUUUUAUAUUAUUAUUUCGAUUAAAAAAUAGACGAAUUAUUGUAAGAUUCUCAUUAGGAAAUUCCAAGAUAUAUUACACAGAUAAUUUCGCGUGAACAUAGAAUAUAUAUACAUAUAAUUACAUAACUAUAGGAGAGAGGAAAUUAUUUAUCCCCAUGCGUUCUAGUUAGGGAAUUAGAUUUUACGAAGCUUGGUCUUCUAUCCUGCUAACAUGGGACUAAUAAAACUAGGUUAAGUCAUUCCUUCCGUGAUUUUCGACCCAGUAAUACGCAAGUGCGUCUCAUACGCGAAAUAAUCCCUAGCUAUCAUACGUGCCAAACAACAGCUUUACAAAUAAGAGAAACGAUUGAAACACCCUUUAUCACUGAUCAUUCUAUUAUUCCAUUAAUAUUCUUUAAAUUUAGCACUAUAUUUGUAUAAGAUUUAUUAGAAAAUUCCA